CCUACGGGGGGCAGCAGUGGGGGAUAUUGCACAAUGGGGGAAACCCUGAUGCAGCGACGCCGCGUGUGGGAAGACGGUCCUCUGGAUUGUAAACCACUGUCCCCAGGGACGAAGAUGACGGUACCUGGGGAGGAAGCUCCGGCUAACUACGUGCCAGCAGCCGCGGUAAGACGUAGGGAGCGAGCGUUGUCCGGAAGUACUGGGUGUAAGGGGAGCGUAGGCGGGACUGAAAGUUGGGUGUCAAGUCUACCGGCUCAACCGGUAGCCGCACUCAAAACUGCAGUUCUUGAGUGAAGUAGAGGCAGGCGGAAUUCCUAGUGUAGCGGUGAAAUGCGUAGAUAUUAGGAGGAACACCAGUGGCGAAGGCGGCCUGCUGGGCUUUUACUGACGCUGAGGCUCGAAAGUGUGGGGAGCAAACAGGAUUAGAUACCCUAGUAGUC
rnacentral:rRNA from 1 species